UAGUGAUUAGAGUUUGAUCAUGGCUCAGAUUGAACGCUGGCGGCAUGCCUUACACAUGCAAGUCGAACGGCAGCGCGGGCUUCGGCCUGGCGGCGAGUGGCGAACGGGUGAGUAAUACAUCGGAACGUGCCCAGUAGUGGGGGAUAGCCCGGCGAAAGCCGGAUUAAUACCGCAUACGACCUACGGGUGAAAGCGGGGGAUCGCAAGACCUCGCGCUAUUGGAGCGGCCGAUGUCAGAUUAGCUUGUUGGUGGGGUAAAAGCCUACCAAGGCGACGAUCUGUAGCUGGUCUGAGAGGACGACCAGCCACACUGGGACUGAGACACGGCCCAGACUCCUACGGGAGGCAGCAGUGGGGAAUUUUGGACAAUGGGCGCAAGCCUGAUCCAGCCAUGCCGCGUGCGGGAAGAAGGCCUUCGGGUUGUAAACCGCUUUUGUCAGGGAAGAAACGGCUCUUACUAAUAUUAGGAGCUAAUGACGGUACCUGAAGAAUAAGCACCGGCUAACUACGUGCCAGCAGCCGCGGUAAUACGUAGGGUGCAAGCGUUAAUCGGAAUUACUGGGCGUAAAGCGUGCGCAGGCGGCUUUGCAAGACAGAUGUGAAAUCCCCGGGCUCAACCUGGGAACUGCAUUUGUGACUGCAUGGCUAGAGUACGGUAGAGGGGGAUGGAAUUCCGCGUGUAGCAGUGAAAUG
rnacentral:rRNA from 1 species